UGUUAUCUCAAUAAGCCACUGACCAUCGCCGCUCAGUGCGCCACACACCAGGCCAUUGUUAGUUAGCAGAACAGGAAAGCGUUUCAACUUAUCUGAAUAAGACACUGCUCCGCGCAGGUCGGGGUAUCCGGGCCUCGGUAAAACUUAGUAUACCGCUGGAAGUCACGACUCUCUCGGUAAAUGCAUCCUCUCAGUACCAGAAAUGUAUAAAGAUGCUCAUUCGGUGCAAGGUAGUCAUCACUCGAGAUCAUGCCAGAAACCUCUUCAGCUUCGCUCCUCACUAACGCUCAGAUCCAUCCCGAGGGUCAGAACGCAAGCUCCAACCCACAACAUGGCAUACGCUUCUUUGACCUCACAGGUGUGGAGCAAGAAAAUGUACUUUUAACACCGUUCAACUACGGUUUUUAAAUGGGAACGUUCUAUAAGAUAACGAAGGAGUCCUCAGAAGAACUUGAAGUGAAGCACAUCUCCCUCAGUCGGGGAAAAGUUACAGAAAUCAUCUUUUUCUUUCGCGGCUGCAAAAUCCUUUUUGCAAAAUUAAGAUUGGUUUGCUUUUCUACAUUGAAACGUUUUACAACAUUUUUAAAUGUGCAUACUGUU